UACGUAGGGUGCGAGCGUUGUCCGGAAUUAUUGGGCGUAAAGCGCGCGUAGGCGGUUACUCAAGUCGGAUGUGAAAGCCCUCGGCUUAACUGAGGAAGUGCACCCGAAACUGAGUAGCUAGAGUACUAAAGAGGGUCGCGGAAUUCCCGGUGUAGAGGUGAAAUUCGUAGAUAUCGGGAGGAACACCGGUGGCGAAGGCGGCGACCUGGGUAGAUACUGACGCUGAGGCGCGAAAGCGUGGGGAGCAAACAGG
rnacentral:rRNA from 1 species